GAACGCUGGCGGCAGGCCUAACACAUGCAAGUCGAGCGGUAACAGGAAGGAAGCUUGCUUUCUUUGCUGACGAGCGGCGGACGGGUGAGUAAUGCCUGGGAAAUUGCCCUGAUGUGGGGGAUAACCAUUGGAAACGAUGGCUAAUACCGCAUGAUGCCUACGGGCCAAAGAGGGGGACCUUCGGGCCUCUCGCGUCAGGAUAUGCCCAGGUGGGAUUAGCUAGUUGGUGAGGUAAUGGCUCACCAAGGCGACGAUCCCUAGCUGGUCUGAGAGGAUGAUCAGCCACACUGGAACUGAGACACGGUCCAGACUCCUACGGGAGGCAGCAGUGGGGAAUAUUGCACAAUGGGCGCAAGCCUGAUGCAGCCAUGCCGCGUGUAUGAAGAAGGCCUUCGGGUUGUAAAGUACUUUCAGUGGUGAGGAAGGGAGUGUGGUUAAUAGCCAUAUUCUUUGACGUUAGCCACAGAAGAAGCACCGGCUAACUCCGUGCCAGCAGCCGCGGUAAUACGGAGGGUGCGAGCGUUAAUCGGAAUUACUGGGCGUAAAGCGCAUGCAGGUGGUUUGUUAAGUCAGAUGUGAAAGCCCGGGGCUCAACCUCGGAGUUGCAUUUGAAACUGGCAGGCUAGAGUACUGUAGAGGGGGGUAGAAUUUCAGGUGUAGCGGUGAAAUGCGUAGAGAUCUGAAGGAAUACCGGUGGCGAAGGCGGCCCCCUGGACAGAUACUGACACUCAGAUGCGAAAGCGUGGGGAGCAAACAGGAUUAGAUACCCUGGUAGUCCACGCUGUAAACGAUGUCUACUUGGAGGUUGUGGCCUUGAGCCGUGGCUUUCGGAGCUAACGCGUUAAGUAGACCGCCUU
rnacentral:rRNA from 1 species